rnacentral:rRNA from 1 species
CACGGGGGUUGCGAGCGUUGUCCGGAAUUACUAGGUGUAAAGGGCAGGCAGGCGGAUCCAUAAGUUUAUCGUUUAAGGCGUCGGCUUAACCGGCGUAGGGCGGUAGAUACUGUGGAUCUGGAAUGCGGUUGGGGAAGACAGAAUUCCUGGUGUAGCGGUGGAAUGCGCAGAGAUCAGGAGGAAUACCGAAGGCUAAGGCAGUCUUCCAAGCCGUUAUUGACGCUCAACUGCGAAGGUGUGGGUAUCAAACAGGAUUAGAUACCCUGGUAGUCCCUGA